GCAGACUUUCAGGAGGAACAUGAUGCCUGUCAGCUGGGACCAUGAUGCAGCCCAGAAACACCUGAUGCUAGCAGAGAAGCUCAGGAAGGGAGGGUGCUCUGGGGAGACCUAUCAGAAGAGGAAGGAAGAGAGGAAGUACUGAAAAAGAAAGCACAGCUUUAUCUUAGGUGUUGGUGGGGAGCCUGGAGGCUGAAGGUUAAAGAAAGUUUGGAUGUUUCUUCUUGGCUGCUUCUGAAGAUGGAGGUGGUGGUUACUUUAAGCUCCUUGGUGCUCCAAGAGGAUCCCGUAGCAGCUGUAUGGACUCUGCUCCUCCAGGCUCCGUUUCAGGACGUGUCGGUAUAGCUGAGGUGUCAUUGAAAAGCUGGAGCGGGCAAUGUGCUGCCAAACCUGAGGGAUGCUAACACUUCUGACAAGAUUAACAACGUCGGGAAAUUGGACUCCCUGCAUUGAUCAUCGGGCUGAUGGGAAAGCUGCCAUGGAAACGUGAGGAAUAUGUUGGUUUCAUCUAUCAGUCAUCUCCCUGGGCUUGAUUGGGAGAUGCUGGGGCUGCAAAGGCAUUUUGUCUGUGCUUUAAUGUGGGAUGUUCAGCAAAUGCUUUAAAAUGUAAUUGCAUUGUGCUUUGUCCUUUGAACUCUUGCACAUCCUGUUGUAUGUCUCAUUUCAUUUCUAUUUUGCUGCCAAUGUGAUUUAUAAAGGUGCAUUGAAUUGCUUCGUUGUUUUUUAAUUUCUCUCUGAAGCCAUAGGGGCUGGAAGUGUAGGACUCCUACAGACCAAAGAGAAGCUGAAGACUGGAAGCAACCUGUCAGGAGUGAAAAGGGUUUUCUUGUAAAGCCAACAGGUAGAGGGUCCCAUCAGUCUGAUUGCACCUUCAGAAAAAAACAUUAAUUAGCACUUGUCAUCUGUGACAGUCACAGGUAAUUCCCACACUGACAGAUCUUUGCAUGUGACAAAUGGAUUCCCGUUAUUCCUUUGACAACUGGACCAUGAAAUCUAAUUUUGCCAGGACAGUAAAUGGUAUUGCUGUUUAUGCCAGCUUUUGAAAUUCAUCAAAAUGAGCAGAAUGUUCCCACAGAUGGAGGAAGAAGAAGCUGCAAUGCAUGAGGAGCACAGGAGUCCUCCUCUCAAGACAAGGGGCAUCACUCUGACAAGUAGCAACUAGUAAUUACAAGCAGAAAAUUGGUCUCAUUAGAUGAGGCUUGAAGUUUCAAUUAAAAAUAAAUAAAUAAAUAAAUAAAAACCAAAACAAAUAAAAAACUCACAAUUUUAUCGUUUCUUGUUUACCUGCAAUGAGUUAAUAAGUAAGUGAAUGCCUGAAAAACAAAGGAAAAUACAAUAUCUGAUUUUCAUUCCCCCUAAAUUUAGCAUUGGUGCAGUCUCACCAAUGCUAAAUUUUGAAUUUAGUUGAAUAUUGUACACAGUUAUGGCCUUCCCAACAUAAAAUGGCUGUUUAGAUGCUUGAAAGCCUCCAGAGGAAGGCAAGAAAGCAGUUAAAAGGGCUAGAGGACAAAUCCCAUGAGAGGUUGAGGACAUUUGGGUUGUCCAGUCUGGACAAAAGGAGGCUGAGAGGCAACCUCAUUCUUCUCUGCAGCUUCCUGAUGAGGGGAAAUGGGCAGGGAGGUGCCGGUCUCUGUUCCCUGGGAGCCAAGGAGAGGACACAUGGUAACAGCACAACGCUGUGUCAGGGGAAUAUGUGUUGUACAGUAUGAUUUGUACAUGUGUGCUAGGCAUGGAUGAGCUUUAGGACAUUCAGAAGUAACUCUACUCUAGUACAUGAGGUCUUCACAAGACUUAAUUAUCUUUGUUGCUUCAUCAGCACUGACUUUUUCCCUGAGAUAGCUUGGUCAGGCAUGUAUUUUGGAAUGCCUCCAAUUAUCAUUUCAAUUUAUAAUGUGAAACUGAGCAUACACUCUUGAAACUCAAAGAACAAGCAUAGCAUGAAGGCUGAAAUGAUGUGCAUGUAUACGUAUUAACUACCCUGACAGAAAUGGCAUAGGCACAAACUCCUGUGCACUGAUGACAUAGCUUUCCAGCAUGAUUUUGUAUUUCAGGAUGUGUGAUGUAAGUAAUUGACAUUAAUGACUUUGGGAUAUUACAUGAUCUUUCUGUAAACAGAGAUAAUAUUGACUCUAAAGGGUGAGAUCUAAUUUGUAGCAGAGCUCUCUUGAGGAUUUUUCUGAAGGAAGAGUAUAGGGGCUCAGCCUAGCUGUUCAGAAGGGAGUGAAAAUGGUGCAGUGGGAUGAAAAAAAAUUCUUCAAAUAUAAUUGUAAAGUGACUUUCUGCUGCAUGACUUCCCUGUAACCAUGAUUUCCUCCCUAUUCUCCAUCCUCAUCUAUUUCUCAGUGUGUAUAUCUAUAUUGCUGCCUUGCGGACUGGUGCUCUGAUUCCACACGAUGCCUGUGACAAAACUAAUGAUACAACAGUGUGUUACUCCUGCAAGACAGCUGAUGCUGGAUUUGAUAUAUUUUUUCUACUUUAUCAGCAAAUACCAAUCCCAUCUCCUCUUGCACCUGCCAUCUUAGAUACCAGAGUUUCCUGUAAUAUGUGGUUUCACUAUUCCUUUCCUACUUGAUAAUUUCUACAACUUUCAAGUUUUUCUGGUGUUAAAUUUGUCAUAUUCCAUUAGAUAGCAACUUUCCACUUUAUAUUUUAGAGUCUUCUGGUGCUGAGAUUGUAGUAGAAUACAUACCUUGUAUUUGUCAGUCAUCAGCAUACUGCUGCCUGCCUUGAUUGAUGUACUUUAUCUCUUGUAAUUUGUUGUAUCUUGCUUGCCUUCUCUCCCCUCCUUUUUCAUGAGCAGGAAAGACUGGCUACUGCUCUUCCAUAAAAAUAUUUUAUAUAUCAAUCAAUGUUAUAUGUGAAUUUGGUCCUAACAUCAGUGAAAAGUGCAAUACGUUAUGAUGUUCAGAGAACAUAUAAAACUGUAUAAAAGUUUGUUCCUGUAAGUAGGGCUGUAGGUAGGACAGCCCUGAAAUAUCCAUUAUAUGUAUGUAUACAUAUAUUUAAAGAUUUACAGUGCUGUAUCCGUGGAACAUAAGUGCUCAAGUUACUCUAUAAUAUUCUUGGAAGGAUUUUCCUUUAUCUAGCUUUGAUUUGUGUGUGUAUGUGUAUAUGUUGUAAACUUUCUCUCUUUUUGCUGGAAGGCUAGGUAAUUUCACUUACAUCUAUGAGAUACGUGUGGUUAAAAAAAAUAAAUUCCCCCCACCCCAAA